UACGUAGGGUGCGAGCGUUGUCCGGAAUUAUUGGGCGUAAAGGGCUCGUAGGCGGUUUGUCGCGUCGGGAGUGAAAACCAGGUGCUUAACACCUGGCUUGCUUUCGAUACGGGCAGACUAGAGGUAUUCAGGGGAGAACGGAAUUCCUGGUGUAGCGGUGGAAUGCGCAGAUAUCAGGAGGAACACCGAUAGCGAAGGCAGCUCGCUGGGACGGUACUGACGCUGAGGUGCGAAAGCGUGGGGAGCGAACAGG
rnacentral:rRNA from 1 species